rnacentral:rRNA from 1 species
UACGGGGGGGGCAAGCGUUGUUCGGAAUUACUGGGCGUAAAGCGUGCGUAGGUGGUUUGUUAAGUCUGAUGUGAAAGCCCUGGGCUCAACCUGGGAACUGCAUUGGAAACUGGCUGACUAGAGUGCGGUAGAGGGGUGUGGAAUUCCCGGUGUAGCAGUGAAAUGCGUAGAUAUCGGGAGGAACACCAGUGGCGAAGGCGACACCCUGGACCAGCACUGACACUGAGGCACGAAAGCGUGGGGAGCAAACAGG